AGAGUUUGAUCAUGGCUCAGGAGCGAACGCUGGCGGCAGGCUUAACACAUGCAAGUCGAGCGGGCAUAGCAAUAUGUCAGCGGCAGACGGGUGAGUAACGCGUGGGAACGUACCUUUUGGUUCGGAACAACACAGGGAAACUUGUGCUAAUACCGGAUAAGGCCCUUUACGGGGGAAAGAUUUAUCGCCGAAAGAUCGGACCCGCGUCUGAUUAGCUAGUUGGUGAGGUAAUGGCUCACCAAGGCGACGAUCAGUAGCUGGUCUGAGAGGAUGAUCAGCCACAUUGGGACUGAGACACGGCCCAAACUCCUACGGGAGGCAGCAGUGGGGAAUAUUGGACAAUGGGCGCAAGCCUGAUCCAGCCAUGCCGCGUGAGUGAUGAAGGCCCUAGGGUUGUAAAGCUCUUUUGUGCGGGAAGAUAAUGACGGUACCGCAAGAAUAAGCCCCGGCUAACUUCGUG
rnacentral:rRNA from 1 species